rnacentral:lncRNA from 1 species
UGGGAGACACAUUCUGCCAAGCUUUUAAUUCCCUUUCUCUCGAAAUCCGUGCAACAGCAGCAGAGCAGUGAACCCCCAGCAAGUGGAAGUCAGGUGUCACGCUGGAGUUGGCCAAACCGUCCGGAUUGAAGGCAGUAUAUAAGGUAAGAGUGAAGAACUGACGCCACUUUUGCAUGCAAACUUCAUCUUCUUCCUCAAAACCCAACUUUCUGAAACUCUCAAACUCUCCUCCUUCUCUCUAAAACCUCCCUACCUUCUCUCUAAAAUUCUAACCCAUUUACUGUUCCGAUCACCCUUCAGAUCACACCUGAAGACUCCUGGUGGUCUC